rnacentral:lncRNA from 1 species
CUCACUUCAGCUGAGAUUAUUUUGACAGCCAUUAAAUUCUGUGUAUUUUUCACUUUCCCCUCAUUUGCUACAGUGCUGUGCACACAGAAUGGAGUGGCAGCUAUGAAUUCAGCAAUCACCAAAGCUUGGCAUUGAUCAAGUGAACAGGGGUCUGGUGUGCUCUUCAGGCUGGCUGUGGAGAGAAGAAGCUGAGGUAUACCCCACAAAUACUGAUUUCUUGAGAUCCAUCCAUUUCCCUCUGUAUUCAAUACCCUUCACAAGUUCAGUCUCCUGUUCUGCUUUGAGGUGUUGCUAUUACUUGGUCCAUCACAGCAAAUGACCUCUAAGCUUCUUUUUAUGCCAUGUUCUCCUUGGUGCCAGAGAAAAAUGACUAUUCCCUUCUCAACUUCUCCCAGCAAGAAGUGCUAGAAGGCUGGUGGAACAGCACUGAAGUUUCCAGCAGCUCUGGCAGCACAGGACUCCCAUGCUUGAUGUUACACUGCACUCUGUGUUUGAGUUGGCUCGUUCCCUUCCUCUGUCCUGCCUCAUUCCACCGCUUGCACGUACACCUGUCAGCUUAAUUCCUUCAAAGAUGGAAAAGACCAACAUUGUUCCUUCUCCCUGCCUUGUAAUAAUGAAAAAUUGCAUGGGAAGACAGAGCAAUGCAUAGAGGGAGCUCUCCUACCCCCCUUUCCAAAUGGCUUCGGAGUGUGGAGCUGGGGGCUGCCACCCACUCACUUAAUUAAAGUGCUUCCUGCUUUUGAGAUUGCCUUUUUCUUUUUUCUUUUUCCUUUUUAUUUUUUUUUUAUUUAUUUAUUUUUAUUUCCCAAGAGGUUGGGUGGGGCUCUGCUUUAUUUCUUCCCUUCUUCGGGGCUUGCUUGUUUAUAUUUUUCUGUUCUGAAAGCUGUGUGAUUCACACUUUGAUUUACAGUCUGUCCCAGGAGAGCCAGGAGACCCUAAUGAAAGAGCAGGCUGCAGGGGUAAUUAAUACCUACCAGACAUUCAACUGCACCAUUAGCGAGCAAUAUGUGCCUCUGUGUGUGCGUGAGCCCUGGCAGCUGGAGAUGCACAGGCAGGGAUGAUGAUACCACUGGCACAGCCCCGAGCACCCUGCUAGCCACAGCCACUGACACCCGAGGAAAGGAGACACACCCAAACGAAAUACAGAGAGCAAAGCUGGAAGGGGGCCGGGGUCAUGGUGAGAUGACUGCAGGAAGCCAGGGAAUGGGCUGCCACUGAGGGAUACGGGAGGGAGGCUGGUGCAGAGCAUUGAUUGGGG